GCCAGCAGCCAUAUCAACCUGCAACUCACAACUGGCAACCCACUGAAGCUCAGCAGGUAUGAGGCUGGUCAGUACCUGGAUGGGAGACCUUGUUGGAAAAACUAAGGUUUCUGCUGGAA
rnacentral:rRNA from 1 species